CCUACGGGAGGCAGCAGUGGGGAAUAUUGCACAAUGGGCGCAAGCCUGAUGCAGCAACGCCGCGUGGGGGAUGACGGCCUUCGGGUUGAAACCUCUUUUAGUAGGGAAGCGGUACCUGCAGAAAAAGCACCGGCUAACUACGUGCCAGCAGCCGCGGUAAUACGUAGGGUGCGAGCGUUGUCCGGAAUUAUUGGGCGUAAAGAGCUCGUAGGCGGUUUGUCGCGUCUGCUGUGAAAUCCCGAGGCUCAACCUCGGGUCUGCAGUGGGUACGGGCAGACUAGAGUGCGGUAGGGGAGAAUGGAACUCCUGGUGUAGCGGUGGAAUGCGCAGAUAUCAGGAAGAACACCGAUGGCGAAGGCAGUUCUCUGGGCCGUACUGACGCUGAGGAGCGAAAGCGUGGGGAGCGAACAGGAUUAGAUACCCUUGUAGUC
rnacentral:rRNA from 1 species